rnacentral:rRNA from 1 species
UUGGAGGGCAAGUCUGGUGCCAGCAGCCGCAGUAAUUCCAGCUCCAAUAGCGUAUAUUAAAGUUGUUGCAGUUAAAAAGCUCGUAGUUGAAUUUCGGGAUCAGUACGCUGGUCAUGCCUUGGUAUGUACUGGUGUUAUUGGUUCCUACCUUCUGACGAACCGUCAUGUCAUUAAUUUGGUGUGGCAGGGAAUCAGGACUGUUACUUUGAAAAAAUUAGAGUGUUUAAAGCAGGCUCACGCUUGAAUACAUUAGCAUGGAAUAAUGAAAUAGGACGUUCGAUCCUAUUUUGUUGGUUUCUAGGAUUGACGUAAUGAUUAAUAGGGAUAGUUGGGGGCAUUAGUAUUCAAUUGUCAGAGGUGAAAUUCUUGGAUUUAUUGAAGACUAACUACUGCGAAAGCAUUUGCCAAGGAUGUUUUCAUUAAUCAAGAACGAAAGUUAGGGGAUCGAAGACGAUCAGAUACCGUCGUAGUCUUAACCAUAAACUAUGCUGACUAGGGAUCGGAUGAUGUUAAUUUUUUAAUGUAC